UGCCAUUGGAAUCCACAGUCCUCUAUACUCCUUAACCGCAGAGCCAAGUCCCACAAAAUCAAUACUUGAAACUGACGAUUUUCCCUUCUUGUCUACUAUCUCAUUCCCCAAGUUUCCCCCAGUACUUUCCUCCAAACCUAUAAGACAAUACAAAUACAAAUUUUACCCCACAUUUUAAGUUACAUAAUUCAUUCUUGAGAAGAAAUCCGAUAGUAUUUUGUGUUUGCUAUCACCUUUAGAAAACUCUAGUGCAUUGCUCAGAAAAAUAAUGGAAAAGCAAACUUAGAAAAAACAUAAAUCAAAUUAAUAACUUAUAGAUUAUUAAACCUUCUACCAUUGAUGAAGAAGCAAAUAAACAAACACCUAAAUUUAUGUAAGUCUACGGCAAGUACCUGUUUCACUUCAAUAGAACAUGGAAACUGUCACUCUUCAGCUCUAAUUUCAAAUCUUCUUUUUUCUUUUUCUUUUUUUUUUUUUCUCUUUUCAAAAUUACCUGAAAUUUUGUGCCAUUACUCUUGUUCAUGCCCAAAAUCGGAGGACAUCUUAGGUGGAAGUAGUGUCAAGUGUUCAGCAUAACAAGAGGGUUGUGGACCUUCGGCAAGGAGAGAUCCCACGAAAGAGAUAGGGAGGAAGCAAUCAUCAAGUUUCGGAUACCACUGUGGUACCUACCGAAGGCUCUCCGAUACUUAAGUCAACAAGAGUAGGUUAUGUAGUAAUUUUAGUAAAGUAACAGUAAAGGUGAAAAGUAAUUACCUUUUUUACUUGGGCACUAUUCCUCUUUUAUAGAGAAUUGAAAGUGAGAGUUUACACAAAGUUUUGACGUGGAACUUUGUCCAAAUCGUUGUAGUGGUGACGCGUGUCCAUGGUUUUAGGCUCUGUAACUGAGAGCUUCGGCAGGCUUCGGGUCUAUCUUCGUGCUGGUCCUUUAGUGCCAAAUGUGCUUAGUAUGGUAUAAACAAUAGUCCCUCAACUUUUGUGAUCAAGAAGUGGCUUUUGGGUUGGAUAAUCAAAUCGAGUAUUUUUGGUCUAGCAAGCGCCGUAGGGCGUUCCCCAAUCCCCCAAGUUUGCAAGCUAGAAGUUGCGUCGACCAUGGGGGUAACUUGGUGAAGCUGUUGAGUUGGCGUUUGUUGGGUAGGCGAACAAGCGAUCCACAGUAGACUAGUUAGUGGCACAUCUAAGUCUUUAAUAGAACAAAGUACUUCUACAUAUGGGCUAGCACAAUGUUGGAAUUCUAUUCGGCAAAUAAAAAGUUUUGCAUCAUGCAAAAGCUGCCCCAAUAUAGCUAGCUUAGAG
rnacentral:lncRNA from 1 species